rnacentral:rRNA from 1 species
UACGAACCGUGCGAACGUUAUUCGGAAUCACUGGGCUUAAAGGGCGCGUAGGCGGGCCGCCAGGUCCGGGGUGAAAGCCUCCAGCUCAACUGGAGAAGUGCCUUGGAUACCGGCGGCCUCGAGGGAGGCAGGGGCGUGCGGAACUUCGGGUGGAGCGGUGAAAUGCGUAGAUAUCCGAAGGAACACCGGUGGCGAAAGCGGCGCGCUGGACCUCUUCUGACGCUGAGGCGCGAAAGCCAGGGGAGCAAACGGG